GCUGAGGCGCAUUUGCGACGAGGUGGAGGUGUGGGGAGCGGCUGUGGUACCGAGAAAGCGGAAAAGAAAGGAGGAAGUGAAAGGAGACGAAGAAAAUUAGAAGGGAGAAGAAAGCAAGGGGUCAGAGAGAAGUGUGUUGUCCUGGUUUUUUCGGCAGAAAGAGAUUACAGGCCCUGACGUAGUGAAGCACGCGCGUCCUAGUCAUAUCUGAAUAAUAAGUGGUUACAGGAAAAGGAGGUAGGGAGGAGACUUACAGUCCUCGUAUCUGGGGAUGCAAUGAGUGAAGUUCGACGGGUGUGGCCCUGGCAAACCCGCACAUAGCCUGGAGGAGGAACAGGGCCACACACGAGAUAACUCAAGAGGCAAAAAUUAGUCACACUGCCAAACUGAAAGUUGGAAAUCAAGAUUAUCCAAAACAGUUUGUGAUCUGGUUUUCAUCUUUGAUAAUAUCUUAUUAAUAUCUUCGAAAAUUUAACUUCUAGUACACAAUCCAUUGUUUCAGUGGUGUGGUAUACAUUGUAAAACUUUUGACGAUUUCAAAAGCCAGAUUUACCAAACUUUUAACAACUGUGCUGAAGGCGUAGAGCUCUUGGCAUCUAAACGUCUGCACUAAGAGACUUGACCAAACUCUUGUCAGCGAACAUUCAAUUAACUACUAAGUUAAGAAGAAAAAAGGGAAUUUUAUUGGAGCCAAACUGAAGAUUUUAACCUGGGAAGCAGAUUCUCAGAAAGCUUCGUUAGAAGACGAAGGCUCAGUCAUACGUUUUUGAGUCAAAGGAUCAUACAGCAAAAUGACAUACUGAAAUUUCACAUGAAGUUCACCAGAGAUACGUAGUCCAGCUUCUUAGCCCGGGUUCCCCAUCUCUGGUGAUAAGGGUGGCCUUCUACCUCAAGAUAUGGCAAGUACAACUUUCACAUGAGAGAUUUAUUUCCUGCUUUCAUGGAGACAGAAAGAAGGGAAUGCUCGGCUUCUUGGUGGAAGCACAGAAAAGAAGAAAACAGGACUUAACAAGGGGUUAAAUCUUCAUCAGGGUUACAAAUCAAGGACAAAUAACCCUGCACAUUCUUCUGUUUACUCCCUCAUCUCUGCACAGGGCAGCAACCAGACACCUGAGGGACCUUGGAGUUGAGGGGGCUUGCAGUAGGAACCUGCCAGCUGCCUGUGGACCCCACACCAGUGGGCUUGGAAGACAGACCAUCCAGCCAAAGACUAUUCUUGAACCUUAGGGCUUAAUGUUUUAAUGUUUGAUUCAUUAGGUUUUGGACUUACCUGGGACCUGUUCUUUCUUCUUUUCUAUUUCUCCCUUUUGGAAUGGGAAUGUCUAUCCUAUGCUUGUCCCACCAUUGUACUCUAGAAGUUCAUAGCAUGUUAGCUUCACAGGCUCACAGCUGGAGAGCAAUUUUCCUCAGGCUGAAUCAUACCUUGAGUCUCACCCAUAUCUGAUUUAGAUGAUAUAUAAAUGAGUCUUUGGAUUUUAGACUUUAGAGCUCAUGCUGAAAUGAGUUAAGACUUUUAGGGCUUUUGGGAUGUGAUGAAGGUGUUGUGCAUGUGAGAAGGACAUGAAUUUUCAAGGGCCAGAAGUGGAAUGCUAUAGGCUGAAUAUGUCUUCUGAAAAUUCACAUGUUGAAAUCCUAACCCUCAAGGUGAUGGUAUUUAGAGAGGAGGUGAUGAAGUCCUGAGAGGGGAGCCCUCAUGAAUGGCAUCCUUAUAAAAGAGGUCCUAGAGUGCUCCCUUACCCCUUCUGCCAUGUGAGGAUACAAAAGAACAAGGCCAUUUAUGAUCCAGCAAGCAAGAUCUCUUCCAACACAGAGUCUGCUGAUGUCUUGAUCUUAGACUUACCAGCCUCCAGAACUGUGAAAAAUAAAUUUCUAUUGUUUAUAAGCUACCCAGUCUAUGGUAUUCUAGUAUAGCAACCUAAAAGGGCUAGCACACUCAUAGAAAGGUAGACAAUGAAGUUAUGGACUUAGGUAAAAUGUCUAGAGAAGACAGUGCUUGACACAUUCUUCAGACUUCAUAUUCAAUAUCACAUCCUCUGGGCACCCUAAAUAAAGGAGAUACCCCUCCCAUAUUUCUAUUAUUCUCUGUCAAAGCACCCCUUUGAUGCUUUCAUAGAAUUUUUAUAAAUUUAUAAUUACAUAUUCAUAUGGUUUAUUACUUCAUUUUCUACCUUCCUCACUAGGGUGUAGAGAUUCACAAGGACAGAUAGUAAAUGGCUUUAUUCAAAAUUAUAACAAUAAUAAUGAUAGAAGACUCAUAAGUGUUCUGUGUAUAUUAAUAGAUCUCUCCUCACAGCAAUUCUAAAAGUUAAAUUUUAUUCUUAUCAGUACUUUAUAGUUGAAGGAAAUAAGGUACAGAGGGGUUGAGAAACUUGCCCAAGGUCACAAAACUAGAAACAAUGGAGCCAAGAUUCAAAUUUUGGAAAUUUGGCUCCGAAAUCAGUGCUCUUAACUUCUGUUAUCAUGUCACACUGCCCCUUUAAACUGGGAACUAUCGUAAUCAUUGCCAGAAGGGAGGUGUGUAAUAAUGUGCUACAGGAAUGGAUGAAGGAUUCAACCAUGUUAUCCUACUAUUUAAAAUGUAUCAAUAGUCCUGAUCUCUACUUGGGUAAUAUCAUAUUCUAGUCUAUAACAUAGAAAGUACUGCAAGACUU